AGCUGCCUUUUUAAAAAAAAAAACACAGUAAAAGGAGGCGGAGAAAAAAAAGGAAAAAGAAAAAAAAAAAGAAAAAGGGAAGACAAGAAAAGAAAAGAAAAAUACGGGGGGAGGGAACCCAUCCGCCAGGAACAAGCCACAAAAUGGCUCCAGACAUUUGCGCCAAUGAAAGGGAAAUGGCUUCCUCCUUCCAGACCCUGCACCUAACUCUCCAAAGAUUGACUUCAGCAGCUCUUCCAAAAAGUCUGAAUAAAGUGAAAUCCUCAGUUUUAAAAGGUGAUUUACAAAUGAUGGGAAUCCCGCCUGUGAUCAAAGACUCCGUGGGCCCGUAGCUCUCAAGAGACGGGAAGUGUCUGAAAAGCAGAGGGUCAGCGGUUCGAGCCCGGCGGCGUCUCUCCUCCGAAAGAAAAUAUGGCGAAGGCAAACCUAUGCAGAAUGCUUGCCAAGAAAACUUCAGGGAUGUGACCCUUCGCCUUCCAGGACGGUCGAAGUUUCCUUUCCGUCUUUUGAUCAGAACUGUCAGCAAUCCUUGAGAAACAACCGCAAAAAACGUCCACCGGAGGAACGAAUUGCCUUGUGAAAGGAUCGGGCCUAGAAUAUCAUUGCCAAAGACAUUUUUAGAAUCAGUCCAUUCAGAGGGUGCUUGUUUUUUCAGCUUCCAGAUUCGUUCAUGCAGAAUAACAUCGGGCAAUCCCCUAGGUGCUUGCUCAGAGCAAACCCUGUUGAUUUCUGGGGCAUUUAUUCCCGCGUGGGUGUGCUUUAAGACUGCAUCUUCAGCAGCACCGCAGGUUAUGAAAACGACGCAUCCAUCCGAAUUCCUGCUUUUCCUGGGUCCGUCUUAAAACGAAACAACAACACGCCGGUGUCGAACGAACCUAACACGCAAGUAUGUUGGCAAUCAAGGGACGUUUUUUGAACGCGCUAAAGGGCUCUUUGCAACCUCGGUGCUUCAUUUGCACGCUGCGAUGAAGCUCAAUCCAGUGUUUUAGCCUUCCAGACCUUAGCAGGUGGGUUACGCUGCCCGCAAAGAACGCGCUUUGAAGUUAGGGGUUCUCUUUAUUCGCAUCCUGCCUAUUUGCAGGCUGGAUCGUUUGACGUUACCGCACGUCACUUACUUCAGAGAAGUCCCACUGUGUAGACAGAAAGGGUCCCUUCGCGGAUCGCGACCCAGGUAGCCAUUCCUACGGCUGCCACGCGGGGCCUGGCAGCAGCCUCAUUUUCACACCUGAAGCCUGAAAUGAACACAGAGAAAACCCAAGGGAAGUCGGUGCGCGGCAUUAGUGCGAUCUAAAUGGAACCCCUCAAAUGUGGAGGUCCUUAGGCCCCAUGACCAGCGGGUCCAGUACAAACUGUGUCUCAAAUGCUCUUCUUUUGUCCUCAGUGAGACCUCUGAAUAAAAAUCACCAUAUGCAAUGGAACUCCUGCA
rnacentral:lncRNA from 1 species